rnacentral:rRNA from 1 species
GUGUCAGCAGCCGCGGUAAUACGUAGGGUGCGAGCGUUAAUCGGAAUUACUGGGCGUAAAGCGUGCGCAGGCGGUUUUGUAAGACAGAGGUGAAAUCCCCGGGCUCAACCAGGGAACUGCCUUUGUGACUGCAAGGCUAGAGUACGGCAGAGGGGGAUGGGAUUCCGCGUGUAGCAGUGAAAUGCGUAGAUAUGCGGAGGAACACCGAUGGCGAAGGCAAUCCCCUGGGCCUGUACUGACGCUCAUGCACGAAAGCGUGGGGAGCAAACAGGAUUAGAAACCCCCGUAGUCC